CCUACGGGAGGCAGCAGUGGGGAAUAUUGCGCAAUGGGCGAAAGCCUGACGCAGCGACGCCGCGUGAGGGAUGAAGGUCUUCGGAUCGUAAACCUCUGUCAGCAGGGAAGAACGGUCACUGUGCUAAUCAGCAGUGAAUUGCCGGUACCUGCAAAGGAACCACCGGCUAAAUCCGUGCCAGCAGCCGCGGUGAUACGGUGGGUGCGAGCGUUAAUCGGAAUUACUGGGGGUAAAGCGCUCGUAGGCGGGAUGUCAAGUCAAGGGUGAAAUCCCCGCGCGCAACGUGGGAACAGCCUUUGAAACUGGCAAACUGGAGGGUGUGGAGGGAUAGUGGGAUUCCAGGUGUAGGAGGGAAAUCCG
rnacentral:rRNA from 1 species